rnacentral:rRNA from 1 species
AACGAACGCUGGCGGCAUGCCUAACACAUGCAAGUCGAACGAGACCUUCGGGUCUAGUGGCGCACGGGUGCGUAACGCGUGGGAACCUGCCCUUAGGUUCGGAAUAACUCCCCGAAAGGGGUGCUAAUACCGGAUAAUGUCUUCGGACCAAAGAUUUAUCGCCUUUGGAUGGGCCCGCGUUGGAUUAGCUAGUUGGUAGGGUAAAAGCCUACCAAGGCGACGAUCCAUAGCUGGUCUGAGAGGAUGAUCAGCCACACUGGGACUGAGACACGGCCCAGACUCCUACGGGAGGCAGCAGUGGGGAAUAUUGGACAUUGGGCGAAAGCCUGAUCCAGCAAUGCCGCGUGAGUGAUGAAGGCCUUAGGGUUGUAAAGCUCUUUUACCCGGGAUGAUAAUGACAGUACCGGGAGAAUAAGCUCCGGCUAACUCCGU